rnacentral:rRNA from 1 species
CUUGGGAUGGGCUCGCGGCCUAUCAGCUUGUUGGUGGGGUGAUGGCCUACCAAGGCUUCGACGGGUAGCCGGCCUGAGAGGGCGACCGGCCACACUGGGACUGAGACACGGGCCAGACUCCUACGGGAGGCAGCAGUGGGGAAUAUUGCACAAUGGGCGAAAGCCUGAUGCAGCGACGCCGCGUGAGGGAAGACGGCCUUCGGGUUGUAAACCUCUAUCAGCAGGGACGAAGCGAUAGUGACGGUACCUGCAGAAGAAGCGCCGGCCAACUACGUGCCAGC